rnacentral:rRNA from 1 species
CGUGAGGAACCUGCCUUCCAGAGGGGGACAACAGUUGGAAACGACUGCUAAUACCGCAUGACGCAUUGGUGUCGCAUGGCACUGAUGUCAAAGAUUUAUCGCUGGAAGAUGGCCUCGCGUCUGAUUAGCUAGUUGGUGAGGUAACGGCCCACCAAGGCGACGAUCAGUAGCCGGACUGAGAGGUUGGCCGGCCACAUUGGGACUGAGAUACGGCCCAGACUCCUACGGAAGGCAGCAG